AGUAACGCGUGGAUAACCUGCCGUAUGCAGGGGGAUACCAACUGGAAACAGUUGCUAAUACCGCAUAAGCGCACAGCACCGCAUGGUGCAGUGUGAAAAGAUUUAUCGGCAUACGAUGGAUCCGCGUCCGAUUAGCCAGUUGGCGGGGUAGAAGCCCACCAAAGCGACGAUCGGUAGCCGGCCUGAGAGGGCGGACGGCCACAUUGGGACUGAGACACGGCCCAAACUCCUACGGGAGGCAGCAG
rnacentral:rRNA from 1 species